rnacentral:rRNA from 1 species
GUGCCAGCAGCCGCGGUAAUACGUAGGGCGCGAGCGUUGUCCGGGAAUUAUUGGGCGUAAAGAGCUCGUAGGCGGCUUGUCACGUCGGAUGUGAAAGCCCGGGGCUUAACCCCGGGUCUGCAUUCGAUACGGGCAGGCUAGAGUUCGGUAGGGGAGAUCGGAAUUCCUGGUGUAGCGGUGAAAUGCGCAGAUAUCAGGAGGAACACCGGUGGCGAAGGCGGAUCUCUGGGCCGAUACUGACGCUGAGGAGCGAAAGCGUGGGGAGCGAACAGGAUUAGAUACCCUGGUAGUCC